rnacentral:sRNA from 1 species
UGCGCUUCCGCCAUCUUUCCAGCCUCAGUCGGACGGGCGCGGAGACGCUUCUGGAAGGAACGCCGCGAUGGCUGCGCAGGGAGAGCCCCAGGUCCAGUUCAAAGUAGGUAACCCUGCGGGGCGGGAGGCGGCCGAACCCGACCGCGUGCGACUCGCGGGUCCCUCCUCCUGGGGCCCACGAUGGCUGUAAUGGGGCUCCGCAUCCACAUUCUUUGUUUUAAGUGAGCCUGUGGUGGUUAAAGUUCCGUGACUCUGGGAUCUUGAGAGGUGAAGUGUUUAGGGUUUACUUCCAAAAUGUGUUUUCCAACAGCUUGUAUUGGUUGGUGAUGGUGGUACUGGAAAAACGACCUUCGUGAAACGUCAUUUGACUGGUGAAUUUGAGAAGAAGUAUGUAGCCACCUUGGGUGUUGAGGUUCAUCCCCUAGUGUUCCACACCAACAGAGGACCUAUUAAGUUCAAUGUAUGGGACACAGCCGGCCAGGAGAAAUUCGGUGGACUGAGAGAUGGCUAUUACAUCCAAGCCCAGUGUGCCAUCAUAAUGUUUGAUGUAACAUCGAGAGUUACUUACAAGAAUGUGCCUAACUGGCAUAGAGAUCUGGUACGAGUGUGUGAAAACAUCCCCAUUGUGUUGUGUGGCAACAAAGUGGAUAUUAAGGACAGGAAAGUGAAGGCAAAAUCCAUUGUCUUCCACCGAAAGAAGAAUCUUCAGUACUACGACAUUUCUGCCAAAAGUAACUACAACUUUGAAAAGCCCUUCCUCUGG